AACAACCGAACUUGCUAGCGGGAACCUCCCUUCCGGCAGUUCCGAUUGGUGGACGGCUAUGAAGCUUGCGCCGUGAUUCGUUGUUCGCUGCUGUCCGGUUAGGUUGCACGGGGAGUCGAAGGAAAAUGAUCGGAGACUUUCUGCUGUUCGGUACCUUGCUAAUGAAUGCAGGAGCUGUGCUGAACUUCAAACUGUGAUAACAUCAAAGAUUUCCUGCUGAGUCUGCGCUACUUUCGGAUCUUCAUUGCCUUGUGGAAUAUCUUCAUGAUGUUCUGUAU